CUGAGAAGUUACAGAGGAAGCUCGUCACACCAUGAGGAUUCCUCCCUCCCGUUUGUGAUUUGCCCUGACGUCCACUCUGGUUGCAGUUCGGACUUGGGUGACUGCUGGGUAAACGGGGGCUUUCCUGCUGCCGUCGGAGCCUCUCCUCUGGGAGCACCUGUGUGUCCUGGGCCCGUGGAAAUCCCUUCUGGCAAGUUCGAUCUGGCAAGUCUGUUCUCCCAUCUGGCUUUCAAAGGCCCUUAGUGCUGCCCGGGCCGAAACAACAUUGGGAUUGCGGGCUGCCCACACCGUGUUCUGUAUCGCCUGGCGUGAGUCUCCAUCACUAAACUGUUCCGUGAACGCAGCUUUGCCUCCUCCUUGACUUUGCUCAUGGUCCUUCGUACUGUCAGACUCCUAGACUCCACCAAAUCCUGUUCUCCUAUAAAGCAACAUUUCUUUGGGUGGUGGGGAGGCUUGGAUUCCAGACUACUCCGGCCCUCCGUACUCAGCCAGCACUCUUGUUUUCGCUUGCCCUUGUCAGGUCCCGGAGUUGAGACUCAGAAGAUACAAGUUACUUGUCUCAAAAAUGAGUUUUUUGAGAAAACUUGAGUUCAUCCUAGAGUAGCCAUUUUGGGGGAAAAUGAAAUUGGAUUCCUACUUCAUUGUUUGCAAAAUUAAUUCGAGGCAGCUGAAAGAUUUAAAUACAAGCAAAUGAAACUAGAAGAAAACAGAUUUUUAAAUGUAUUUAUCACAGUGGGGAAAAAGAAGGGCAAAAAAAUUUACGUGCUGAGAACAAAGUGUGGGGGGAUGUGAUAUUUGUACCAAUACAAAGGUGAAUUUCUUUACAGAAUUUUCAGAAUGUGGCGGUCAAGACGAUUGGGACUACAGAAAAAUAGGCAAACAACAGCUCCAGAGUGACUGUAGAACAGGAGGUGUUCCACCUAAUUCAGCGGGAAAUGCAAAUAAGCCUGAUUUGGGUUCAAAUAUAUAUGAAAUGCACUACAUACAGGGAUAUCCAUUUCAAUGUUCGCCGUAGCCAGAUGUUGGAAACGCGAGGUUCUGGUCAAACAUAUCCAUGGGACGUCCCCCUGCAGUGUCACUGAAAGACCAGUGGACAAAGGCAGUGCCAGGUGCAUUGAUACAGAACAGUCCUCCACGUGCAAGUGAAGAUGAAAAAGCAAGCUGCAGGGCGGCGUCUGGAUGCCAAUGUGUGGUAUCGCCUGUCUGUACAUACAUGCAAUAUGUGUAUAUAUGUGGCAAGUAAGCUCCAGGCCCAGCCUGGCGCUUGAACUCACAACCCCGAGAUCAAGAGUCCUGGCAUCCCUGCAUAGAAUGUCUUCGGAAGGACUCAAAGGUAACAGUGGUUGUUUGAGGGAAAGACCCAAGUCACUGGGGAAUAAAGGUGAUACCUUUUGGUACCUUAUGAA